AAGACACUUAAUAGAAUAUAAACCCAUGCCAUUGGUGAACUAGAAUAUGAAGUACAUUCACAGAAAAACCAGAAGAAAGAAACACGAAGCAGUUGCCAACAUCUUAAUCAACUAGAUAAACCAGCAUUGAAACUAAAGCUCAUACGUUUUUUUCAAGCAAUCAUCUCCAAUGCAACAAUUCAUAAUCCCAGCUACUUAACAGUCCAUAAAACACAAAUUUAACACUAAAACUGAACAGAAUUUAGCAAAAAAAUUAACUGGAACCAAAUGGGAAAUAAACAAAAAAUACUCACAAGCUUAAUUGCAACUUCCUCGU
rnacentral:misc_RNA from 1 species